ACUCGCUCCAGCUGCCCUUGCAGCCGGGUCCAUGCAUUCAGUCUGAGCUAGAAGAGGGUUUGCACCAGCCUGUGUGGCUGUACCUGGGUUUUAGUGACCGUAUAUAAAGCAGCACCUUAGACAUGCUCCUACUGCUCCUGGGGGGGCAAACUUGGGGAUGGGGAUGGGGAUGGGAUGCUGCCGCCCCCACCAGCUCUGUGCUGAGGGUUGCCCGCCCCAGCUGCAGCACCAGGACCGGGGGUGCUGUGCGCUGCCCCCAGCCAGCAUCGGGCCCACGGGGAGCCGCGUCCCGUGGGGAGGGGUCUCGGGAGAGCGUGGGGGUGGGGGUCCCACGGGGAAGGGUCUUGCUGGGAGAACCCCCCCGCCCCCGGGGGAAGGGGGAUCCCUUUCCGUGGGGGGAGCAAGGGCGCGGGGGGAGGUCCGGAGGGUGGCUUUGGGGGCGGCCUUCGCGGCGGGGGGUUCCCCGUGGGAAUCCCACGGCGGCCGCUCCCACGCCCCCCCCCGGCCCUGUCUCCUCCCCGGGGCCGGGCCGAGGCGCCUGCGCUGCCCGGUGCCGGGAGCCCGUGGCGCGGCCGUGGGCUUGCGAGCUUUUGGGGCCGGGGGGGGGUGGGCGUUUGGGGUCGUGCCCCCCUCCCGGCACCAUGCGGCGGCCGUCGGGCCCCGCUCCCAGCGCCCCGGAGCCGGGGGGCGGCCGGGUGCCGGGGAGCCCCGGCGGGGCGAGGGGGGCGCGGCGGUUGCGGCGGCGCGGGGGGGUCCCGCGGCUGCUGCCCGACGUGCGCAGCAUCUUCCCGGCCCCCGGGGAGCCCCCGGAGAGCGGCCGCGGCCGCGGCCACCGCUUCGUGCCCCGCGCCCUGCGCCGCGGCUGGUGCGACCUGUGCGGAGCCGCCGUGCGGGAGCGCGCCCUGCGCUGCGACUACUGCAGGUACACGUGCCACCCGCAGUGCCGCAGCCUCAUCCAGCUGGACUGCCGCCGGCCCGGCCCCGGCCAGCUCUCGCCCGAGAGCACCCUCGUGCCUCCCUGCAGCCAGGUACGCCGGGGUCCCCGUGGUGGCGGUUGCCUCGCGAUGCUCAACCCCAUCUCUCUACGACCUGUUUCUUGCUCCCGAAGGGUUUGACAGGGGGAUGUUUUGUCACAGGCAGGUCAAAACCUGCCCGAAUUGGGUCUGAUCCGCACGGGGAGGGACAGGAUCGGACACAGGCAGCGCUCCUCGCUUUUUCUCGCAUAAUCCAUUGCUGCUAA
rnacentral:lncRNA from 1 species